rnacentral:rRNA from 1 species
CUACGGGGUGCUGCAGUGAGGAAUAUUGCACAAUGGGGGGAACCCUGAUGCAGCAACGCCGCGUGGAGGAUGACGCAUUUCGGUGUGUAAACUCCUUUUAUAUGUCAAGAAAAUGACGGUAGCAUAUGAAUAAGCACCGGCUAACUCCGUGCCAGCAGCCGCGGUAAUACGGAGGGUGCAAGCGUUACUCGGAAUCACUGGGCGUAAAGGACGCGUAGGCGGGUUGGAAAGUCAGGUGUGAAAUCCUACAGCUUAACUGUAGAACUGCACUUGAAACUUCUAAUCUAGAGUAUGGGAGGGGGAGAUGGAAUUAGUGGUGUAGGGGUAAAAUCCGCAGAUAUCACUAGGAAUACCUAAAGCGAAGGCGAUCUCCUGGAACAUAACUGACGCUAAGGCGUGAAAGCGUGGGGAGCAAACAGGAUUAGAUACCCCUGUAGUC